GUUUAUAUGCUUUCUUUUGCUUGUAUCAAAUGAAAUGCAACGGAAGGAUACUUUGCCAUAAAGAUCACAGACAUUGCUGGAGAAUACCGCUGACGUUCUCUAGAUAAUACUAUAUGAAUGGCCACCAAAGUUAACAUCUCGUAUAGCUGUAAGGACAGCACCUUCUAUGUAAAACAAGAACAAUGCUGUGACUCUUCUGGUGAACAAUUUCAAUCAUAUUAUGGUGACUACAUCCCAUAUUCAAUACCCAUGAUCAGGCAAAUUCUAGUUCAUCUGGACAUCAUAGAAUGACUACUGGCUCGAAUAAAAAAAAAUAAA